rnacentral:lncRNA from 12 species
AUGUAUGUGUGUAUAUGUAAAUGUAUACAUGUAUGUAUGUGUAUAUAUUUUUUUCUUUAUACAUUUUUUUUCAGGUCAAAUAGAGAUCUAACAUCCAAAUUUAACUUCAAACAAUCUUUCACACAUCUGUGUGCUAACAGCACAUCUUUUCCUUCCUUUCCAGGACUUGUCCUUACGAGUCUCCAGUGCUCCAAACCUGAGUUCUUCAUUCUCAGAAGAAAAGCAAAAUCUCCAAUAGCAACGAAGUCCUGAAGGAAAUUGCUUUGAAUUAACUGUGCAAUGAACAGAUCAUGAGCCUUAUAAAGGAAGAAAAGGCUGGUCCUUCAUGCAGGUCAAUGGAUUGGAGCCUCUUGAACCAAAGACUCUGGAUGGGUAAAAGGGACCAACCCGAAUUGUUACAGCAACUUGCGGGAAUAAAAAUACAGAGUAAGCUUUAAAAUAAAAGGCA